rnacentral:rRNA from 1 species
AUACGGAGGGUGCGAGCGUUAAUCGGAAUUACUGGGCGUAAAGCGUGCGUAGGCGGUUGAUUUAGUCAGAUGUGAAAGCCCAGGGCUUAACCUUGGAACUGCAUUUGAAACUGGUCAACUGGAGUACGGUAGAGGGUGGUAGAAUUUCCUGUGUAGCGGUGAAAUGCGUAGAUAUAGGAAGGAAUACCGAUGGCGAAGGCAGCCACCUGGACCAAUACUGACGCUGAGGUGCGAAAGCGUGGGGAGCAAACAGGAUUAGAAACCCCGGUAGUCC